rnacentral:rRNA from 1 species
UACGUAGGGUGCGAGCGUUGUCCGGAUUUAUUGGGCGUAAAGAGCUCGUAGGCGGUUUGUCGCGUCGGCCGUGAAAUCUCCACGCUUAACGUGGAGCGUGCGGUCGAUACGGGCAGACUUGAGUUCGGUAGGGGAGACUGGAAUUCCUGGUGUAGCGGUGAAAUGCGCAGAUAUCGGGAAGAACACCCGUGGCGAAGGCGGCACUCUGGGACGGUACUGACGCUGAGACGCGAAAGCGUGGGGAGCGAACAGG